AACGAACGCUGGCGGCAGGCCUAACACAUGCAAGUCGAGCGAAGCCUUCGGGCUUAGCGGCGGACGGGUGAGUAACGCGCGGGAACGUGCCCUUUGGUACGGGAUAGCCCCGGGAAACUGGGAGUAAUACCGUAUGUGGUCGAGAGACGAAAGAUUUAUCGCCAAAGGAUCGGCCCGCGUUGGAUUAGGUAGUUGGUGGGGUAAUGGCCUACCAAGCCGACGAUCCAUAGCUGGUUUGAGAGGAUGAUCAGCCACACUGGGACUGAGACACGGCCCAGACUCCUACGGGAGGCAGCAGUGGGGAAUCUUAGACAAUGGGGGAAACCCUGAUCUAGCCAUGCCGCGUGAUCGAUGAAGGCCUUAGGGUUGUAAAGAUCUUUCAGUGGGGAAGAUAAUGACUGUACCCACAGAAGAAGCCCCGGCUAACUCCGUGCCAGCCGCCGCGGUAAUAC
rnacentral:rRNA from 1 species